rnacentral:rRNA from 1 species
UACGUAGGUGGCAAGCGUUUGUCCGGAUUUAUUGGGUUUAAAGGGUGCGUAGGCGGCUUAUUAAGUCAGUGGUGAAAUACUCUAGCUCAACUAGAGGGGUGCCAUUGAUACUGAUGAGCUUGAGUACAGAUGAGGUAGGCGGAAUUGACGGUGUAGCGGUGAAAUGCUUAGAUAUCGUCAAGAACACCUAUAGCGAAGGCAGCUUACUAGGCUGUAACUGACGCUGAGGCACGAAAGCGUGGGGAGCGAACAGG